GCGUUGUUCGGAUUCAUUGGGCGUAAAGGGUGCGUAGGUGGCGCCGUCAGUGGGGUGUGAAAUCCCGAGGCUUAACCUCGGGACUGCAUUCCAUACUGCGGUGCUUGAGGACUGGAGAGGAGACUGGAAUUCAUGGUGUAGCAGUGAAAUGCGUAGAGAUCAUGAGGAAGACCAGUGGCGAAGGCGGGUCUCUGGACAGUUCCUGACACUGAGGCACGAAGGCUAG
rnacentral:rRNA from 1 species